rnacentral:lncRNA from 1 species
CCAAGAUGGGUAUGGGGUGCAUAAUAAAUGAACUAAACUAAACUGAAAUAGAUUUUGAAAUUAACUUCCAACAUUUAAGCUGGGGAUCAUUAUUGGUUCAUUAGAGACUCGUUCGUAUUUGGGGAAGUGAAGGAGUGGCUGUUGGCCAGUGAUAAUUGACACUUCAGACACGCAAAAUGUUAACCAAUGGGGUGAGCUUUAGGGUGAAUGCCAACCAAUCAGCGGCCGGGUUUGGUUGGCUGCUGGUAAUAAAAGAAACGAUGAGACAAAACUCACUUCAGUGUGGUUUUACCUCACUUUUGGUGACCAGUUCCAGGAUCGUAGUGGUGCAGUUGUCAGCGCCUCGGAGGUCUACACAAGGCUGUAACAAGCCGGACAAACGCCCAAAUGCUUCUGCUGACAAUACUGGUGUGGGAGUGUAGUCUCGGGACUACAAUGCCCCAGACGGGUCCCUGGUGGUGGUGGUGGUCUUCGUCUCCUGAGUAAAACCAGUUGUCUGCACCAGUAUUCGUCUCGCCUCUCCCUUCCCAAAAGUCCUCUUUCAGGCACUCUUGUCCUUCCAACACCUUCCUGCACUGGAAGUGCCCCAACUUCCCUUCGCCCGUCACCCCCAGCUUGUCACCCGGCCUUGAAGGCCGCAGGGAACUACACACUCCAUCCUGUGGAAUACCUGAUGCAUGAAACAACGGCUGGUAAGAACUGUGCGUGAAUACUAAUACCUACAGCUGGGAUAAAGUUAACUCUUACUGCUAGUCUUGGCAGAGGGUUCCAGCUAAUUUCACUUUAAGUUCAUGUGGAGAAGCGACUGAGGGCGGGGCGAGGGCCUGGAGGUGGUCAUCCGGGUACACUGUCCUGCACCAACUGGUCUCACUGGAGGGCUCGGGUGACAACAGGGAAGGCCAAGAGGACAGUCUCGGGCUACUGAAGAACAUCUAUAACGAAGGCAUAAAGUGGCAGGACAUUGCCAGCAUGUCAGUCUGUCGUCUGUGGGAACAGCCUGAGAUACAUAUUUUUGCCAGAAAAUGGCCUCGUUCGUUGAAAGGAAAGAUGCGCGAGUCGGCCACAACCCGAGUAACGUCAACCUCGUGAACUGCAGAAGACUGUAACCUCCUCUUGUGUGGGGCCGCCCACUGACGGGCAGUGAGCCGCAUGUUGGGACGCCCUGGUGGAGUAAGAGUACGGACGCUUGGGCUGCCGCCUGAACGGGGAAGACUGGUGAACACUCCCGCUGGUCUCCUGCGUUGGUCCAUUAUUGUUGACUCCAUUAAUCCAAGCAACCUUUGUCCUCCUUCAAAGAUCUCUUGUUCUCUUGGGCUAAAAGUUUUGCAUCUGACAUGUGAUCCUGUGGUCCCGGGUUCGAUCCCGGACGCCGGCAAGAAACAAUGGGCAGUUUCUCUUUCACCCUAUACCCCUGUUACCUAGCAGUAAAAUAGGUACCUGGGUGUUAGUCAGCUGUCACGGGCUGCUUCCUGGGGGUGGAGGCCUGGUCGAAGACAGGGCCGCGGGGACACUAAAGCCCCAAAAAUCAUCUCAAGAUAACAUCUCAAGAAGACAUGGUUUCGUGUAGGAGCUAGAGACUACAUUAACUGUUGAUCUUUUGGAAGAAAGCUGUCAGACGCCUCUGCCACUCAAUUUUGAGUUUGCUUGUCCAUUUUAGAAUUCAAUCUUGGAUUAAUACGAGGCAGUAGGACAAUGAAUAUGAACUCUAGUUAUCCAUACUAUUGAUGUCAUGGGUGUAUCCAUCUGGACUACUGUAUGAAAGAAUGUAAAAAGAUUCUAAAAUUCUUCAAACCAUCUAAAUAUACAAAUUAGUUGGUAGUUCAUAAGUUUGAUAGUCACAUAACAGGUCUGAUCUUGUCUUGUGCACCCUACACCCAUCCCGCGGGCGAAGGUGAAAAGGGUUAGUCACAUAAUGGGUUCAGGAAGUGACAAUCGUUUGAAGCUAGCUGGACAAUUGUUAAUGUAACGUGUACACAUGUAUACAAUCAUUUACAUAAAUACAUACGCACCAAUAAUCUUCUGAUAUCAAGUGAUUCAAGAGGCUCUAAAGUCACUAUUCAUGGCACUAUAGUAACACUUUCUGUAGUCUUGCUUAACAGCCACCCUAUUGGGUGGAGAACUUCAGCCAUGUUCACAACACAACGGCGGCAGCUUUAGUCAUGUGCGCCACCCAAUUGGGCGGCAGCUUUAGUCAUGUUCCCCACA